CGCUUUCUCUCACACUGCGAGUGAAUGUAGCAAUCAUGGAGUCAAUGGAGGGAGAUGAAGGAGGAAGCGAUAAGGACCGAUACGUUCAGACCUGCGGAAGGGGUCGCGUCAAGGUCACGAACGCUUUCAGAAUACAAACUCCGGCUGGAAAAUCGAGUACCUUGCAGCGCAGAGCUGUCCGGGAGUGGACGUGGUCAGAAUAUUUAAAGAAGACACUUGAUUGACAUCUCUGUCCACUCCUCCAAAACAGUACAGGAGUCCGGAUUGUUAAACUCUGCAUGUACCGACUCGCCUGAUCGACUACGUUUUACGUCUCAGUCUGCGAGGGUCCAAUAUUUUCAAGCACAGUUGAUCUUCGCUGCGAUGAAUCGUGUACGGUGAACACCCCCCCCUUCCCCCAUUUGUUUGUGUGGACAAAACUUAAGCAUGGUA